GUCGAACGGGGCGGCGGGGAGGAAUCCCUUCGGGGAGGAGACCCCGCGGCCUAGUGGCGGACGGGUGAGUAACGCGUGGGCAACCUGCCCCAUACCGGGGGAUAACAGCCGGAAACGGCUGCUAACACCGCAUAAGCGCUGGGGGCCGCAUGGCUCCCAGCGGAAAACUCCGGUGGUAUGGGAUGGGCCCGCGUCUGAUUAGGCAGUUGGCGGGGCAGCGGCCCACCAAACCGACGAUCAGUAGCCGGCCUGAGAGGGUGGACGGCCACAUUGGGACUGAGACACGGCCCAAACUCCUACGGGAGGCAGCAGUGGGGGAUAUUGCACAAUGGGGGAAACCCUGAUGCAGCGACGCCGCGUGAGUGAAGAAGCAUUUCGGUGUGUAAAGCUCUAUCAGCAGGGAAGAAGAAAUGACGGUACCUGACUAAGAAGCCCCGGCUAACUACGUGCCAGCAGCCGCGGUAAUACGUAGGGGGCAAGCGUUAUCCGGAUUUACUGGGUGUAAAGGGAGCGUAGACGGCAAUGCAAGUCCGAUGUGAAAACCCAGGGCUCAACCGUGGGAGUGCAUUGGAAACUGAAUGGCUGGAGUGCAGGAGAGGUAAGCGGAAUUCCUGGUGUAGCGGUGAAAUGCGUAGAUAUCAGGAGGAACACCAGUGGCGAAGGCGGCUUACUGGACUGUAACUGACGUUGAGGCUCGAAAGCGUGGGGAGCAAACAGGAUUAGAUACCCUGGUAGUCCACGCCGUANACGAUGAAUACUAGGUGUCGGGGGUUNACGGACGCCCGGUGCCGCAGCAAACGCAAUAAGUAUUCCACCUGGGGAGUACGUUCGCAAGAAUGAAACUCAAA
rnacentral:rRNA from 1 species